GACGAUCGCUGGCGGCGUGCUUAACACAUGCAAGUCGAACGGUAAGGCCCUUCGGGGUACACGAGUGGCGAACGGGUGAGUAACACGUGGGUGAUCUGCCCUGCACUUCGGGAUAAGCCUGGGAAACUGGGUCUAAUACCGGAUAGGACCCUGGGAUGCAUGUCCUGGGGUGGAAAGCUUUUGCGGUGUGGGAUGGGCCCGCGGCCUAUCAGCUUGUUGGUGGGGUGAUGGCCUACAAAGGCGACGACGGGUAGCCGGCCUGAGAGGGUGACCGGCCACACCGGGACGGGUAUACGGCGCAGACUCCUACGGGAGGCAACAGUGGGGGAUAUUGCACAAUGGGCGCAAGCCUGAUGCAACGACGCAGCGUGAGGGAUGACGGCCUUCGGGUUGGAAACCUCUUUCAGCACCGACGAAGCGCAAGUGACGGUAGGUGCAGAAGAAGGACCGGCCAACUACGUGCCAGCCGCCGCAGUAA
rnacentral:rRNA from 1 species